rnacentral:rRNA from 1 species
GGUUAAGCGACUAAGCGUACACGGUGGAUGCCCUGGCAGUCAGAGGCGAUGAAGGACGUGCUAAUCUGCGAUAAGCGCCGGUAAGGUGAUAUGAACCGUUAUAACCGGCGAUUUCCGAAUGGGGAAACCCAGUGCGACUCGUCACACUAUCAUUAACUGAAUCCAUAGGUUAAUGAGGCGAACCGGGGGAACUGAAACAUCUAAGUACCCCGAGGAAAAGAAAUCAACCGAGAUUCCCCCAGUAGCGGCGAGCGAACGGGGAGGAGCCCAGAGCCUGAAUCAGCAUGUGUGUUAGUGGAAGCGUCUGGAAAGGCGCGCGAUACAGGGUGACAGCCCCGUACACAAAAGCGCAUGUGCUGUGAGCUCGAUGAGUAGGGCGGGACACGUGGUAUCCUGUCUGAAUAUGGGGGGACCAUCCUCCAAGGCUAAAUACUCCUGACUGACCGAUAGUGAACCAGUACCGUGAGGGAAAGGCGAAAAGAACCCCGGCGAGGGGAGUGAAAAAGAACCUGAAACCGUGUACGUACAAGCAGUGGGAGCACCCUUCGGGGUGUGACUGCGUACCUUUUGUAUAAUGGGUCAGCGACUUAUAUUCUGUAGCAAGGUUAACCGAAUAGGGGAGCCGGAGGGAAACCGAGUCUUAAUUGGGCGUUAAGUUGCAGGGUAUAGACCCGAAACCCGGUGAUCUAGCCAUGGGCAGGUUGAAGGUUGGGUAACACUAACUGGAGGACCGAACCGACUAAUGUUGAAAAAUUAGCGGAUGACCUGUGGCUGGGGGUGAAAGGCCAAUCAAACCGGAGAUAGCUGGUUCUCCCCGAAAGCUAUUUAGGUAGCGCCUCGUGAAUUCAUCUCCGGGGGUAGAGCACUGUUUCGGCUAGGGGGCCAUCCCGGCUUACCAACCCGAUGCAAACUGCGAAUACCGGAGAAUGUUAUCACGGGAGACACACGGCGGGUGCUAACGUCCGUCGUGAAGAGGGAAACAACCCAGACCGCCAGCUAAGGUCCCAAAGUCAUGGUUAAGUGGGAAACGAUGUGGGAAGGCCCAGACAGCCAGGAUGUUGGCUUAGAAGCAGCCAUCAUUUAAAGAAAGCGUAAUAGCUCACUGGUCGAGUCGGCCUGCGCGGAAGAUGUAACGGGGCUAAACCAUGCACCGAAGCUGCGGCAGCGACACUGUGUGUUGUUGGGUAGGGGAGCGUUCUGUAAGCCUGCGAAGGUGGCCUGUGAGGGUUGCUGGAGGUAUCAGAAGUGCGAAUGCUGACAUAAGUAACGAUAAAGCGGGUGAAAAGCCCGCUCGCCGGAAGACCAAGGGUUCCUGUCCAACGUUAAUCGGGGCAGGGUGAGUCGACCCCUAAGGCGAGGCCGAAAGGCGUAGUCGAUGGGAAACGGGUUAAUAUUCCCGUACUUGGUGUUACUGCGAAGGGGGGACGGAGAAGGCUAUGUUGGCCGGGCGACGGUUGUCCCGGUUUAAGCGUGUAGGUGUGUGUUCCAGGUAAAUCCGGUUCACUUUAACACUGAGGCGUGACGACGAGGCACUACGGUGCUGAAGCAACAAAUGCCCUGCUUCCAGGAAAAGCCUCUAAGCAUCAGGUAACAUCAAAUCGUACCCCAAACCGACACAGGUGGUCAGGUAGAGAAUACCAAGGCGCUUGAGAGAACUCGGGUGAAGGAACUAGGCAAAAUGGUGCCGUAACUUCGGGAGAAGGCACGCUGACAUGUAGGUGAAGUGAUUUACUCAUGGAGCUGAAGUCAGUCGAAGAUACCAGCUGGCUGCAACUGUUUAUUAAAAACACAGCACUGUGCAAACACGAAAGUGGACGUAUACGGUGUGACGCCUGCCGGUGCCGGAAGGUUAAUUGAUGGGGUCAGCGCAAGCGAAGCUCCUGAUCGAAGCCCCGGUAAACGGCGGCCGUAACUAUAACGGUCCUAAGGUAGCGAAAUUCCUUGUCGGGUAAGUUCCGACCUGCACGAAUGGCGUAAUGAUGGCCAGGCUGUCUCCACCCGAGACUCAGUGAAAUUGAACUCGCUGUGAAGAUGCAGUGUACCCGCGGCAAGACGGAAAGACCCCGUGAACCUUUACUAUAGCUUGACACUGAACAUUGAGCCUUGAUGUGUAGGAUAGGUGGGAGGCUUUGAAGCGUGGACGCCAGUCUGCAUGGAGCCGACCUUGAAAUACCACCCUUUAAUGUUUGAUGUUCUAACGUGGACCCGUAAUCCGGGUUGCGGACAGUGUCUGGUGGGUAGUUUGACUGGGGCGGUCUCCUCCUAAAGAGUAACGGAGGAGCACGAAGGUUGGCUAAUCCUGGUCGGACAUCAGGAGGUUAGUGCAAUGGCAUAAGCCAGCUUGACUGCGAGCGUGACGGCGCGAGCAGGUGCGAAAGCAGGUCAUAGUGAUCCGGUGGUUCUGAAUGGAAGGGCCAUCGCUCAACGGAUAAAAGGUACUCCGGGGAUAACAGGCUGAUACCGCCCAAGAGUUCAUAUCGACGGCGGUGUUUGGCACCUCGAUGUCGGCUCAUCACAUCCUGGGGCUGAAGUAGGUCCCAAGGGUAUGGCUGUUCGCCAUUUAAAGUGGUACGCGAGCUGGGUUUAGAACGUCGUGAGACAGUUCGGUCCCUAUCUGCCGUGGGCGCUGAGAACUGAGGGGGGCUGCUCCUAGUACGAGAGGACCGGAGUGGACGCAUCACUGGUGUUCGGGUUGUCAUGCCAAUGGCACUGCCCGGUAGCUAAAUGCGGAAGAGAUAAGUGCUGAAAGCAUCUAAGCACGAAACUUGCCCCGAGAUGAGUUCUCCCUGAGACUUAGAGUCUCCUGAAGGAACGUUGAAGACGACGACGUUGAUAGGCCGGGUGUGUAAGCGCAGCGAUGCGUUGAGCUAACCGGUACUAAUGAACCGUGAGGCUUAACCUU